CCCUUAGAUGUUCUGGGCUGCACGCGCGCUACACUGACAUGUCCAGCGAGCUCCCAACCUGCUCGGCAAAGAAUGGGUACCCUUUUUAACGCAUGUCGUGAUGGGGAUAGAUUAUUGCAAUUGUUGAUCUUGAACGAGGAAUUCCUAGUAAGUGCAAGUCAUUAGCUUGUGCUGAAUACGUCCCUGCCCUUUGUACACACCGCCCGUCGCUCCUACCGAUUGAGUGCUCCGGUGAACAAUUUGGACUGCUUUGAUUCGAUUAGAAUUUGAAGUGGAAAGUUUAGUGAACCUUAUCACUUAGAGGAAGGAGAAGUCGUAACA
rnacentral:rRNA from 1 species